CCGGGGAAGGCGACCCUGGCAGGCGGCCAGGCCCGCGACAUCGAAAUCGGCGUCCGUUGCCCACGGAGCGCGGGAGGACGCACCUGCAGCCCGACGAGCGCUCGCACCCGCGGGACACGGCGCAUGGAUUCCGCGAGUACACUGUCGCGGCCACGGCAUCCCGGGCCAGCACCGCGGCCUCGGCUCCCUGCUCUGCCGCUCUAUCCCCAAGGCGGCUUUGGGUUCUGAAUGUUCCUGUUCCUCAGCAGCCAGACGAGGGAUGCCCAGGGACGGCCUUACAACAACGCAGGCUGCUGUGCGGCUGGGGCGCCCGCGUGGCCGGGGCCGUGGUGGUCAUAUUUCCCAUGGACGCCAUCAAGGUGAAGUUCAUCCACCGCCAGACCUCCCCAGACGUCCAGUGCAGAGGAGUCUCCCACCGGGGUUAGGGAGAUUGUGCGGGAACAAGGGGACCCAGCGGGGCCUCACGGCCCCCGCGCUGAAGCAGGGCUGGAACCAGGCCAUCCGCUUCUUCUCCUGACCCCCCUGCAUAGCUGGUACCGAGGGGACAACCCCAGCAAGCCCAUGAACCCGCUGGUCGCUGGGGCCUUCGGAGCCAUUGCAGGCGCAGCCAGUGUCUUGGGAAACGCUCCACUGCACGGGAUCGAGACCCGGAUGCGGGGCCUGAAAAGCACAAAUGCAGAACACACGGGACUGCGGCUGCAAAUCCUGAGAAAGGAAGGGCUCAAGGCCUUCUACAACGGCAUUGUCCCCCACCUGGGCCGGGUCUGCCUGGAUGUGACCACAGUGUUUAUCCUCUGCCAUGAGGUAGGAAAGCUGCUCAACAGUGUG
rnacentral:lncRNA from 1 species